UACGUAGGGUGCAAGCGUUAUCCGGAAUUAUUGGGCGUAAAGAGCUCGUAGGCGGUUUGUCGCGUCUGCUGUGAAAACUGGAGGCUCAACCUCCAGCCUGCAGUGGGUACGGGCAGACUAGAGUGCGGUAGGGGAGAUUGGAAUUCCUGGUGUAGCGGUGGAAUGCGCAGAUAUCAGGAGGAACACCGGUGGCGAAGGCGGGUCUCUGGGCCGAAACUGACGCUGAGGAGCGAAAGCGUGGGGAGCAAACAGG
rnacentral:rRNA from 1 species